AAAGCACAGCCUAGACUUCUCACCACUGCACACCAGAAUCCUGCCCUGGGCCUUGCCUGGUCUGCCUGACUCUGCCAUGGGCUGCAGGCUCCUCUGCUGUGUGGCUCUCUGCCUCCUCCAAGCAGGUCCCUUGGACACAGCUGUUUUCCAGACUCCAAAAUACCUAGUCACACAGACGGGAAAGAAGGAGUCCCUUAAAUGUGAACAAAAUCUGGGUCAUGAUACUAUGUAUUGGUAUAAGCAGGACUCCAAGAAAUUGCUGAAGAUAAUGUUUAUCUACAGUAAUAAGGAGCCCAUUUUAAAUGAAACAGUUCCAAAUCGCUUCUCACCUGACUCUCUAGACAAAGCUCAUUUAAAUCUUCACAUCAAGUCUGUGGAGCUUGGUGACUCUGCUGUAUAUUUCUGUGCCAGCAGCCAAGGCACAGCCCUGCAGAUGCAUCACGUACUUGUGCACAAACCUCCCGGCUCAGCCAGGAAGCUGUGGGCCAGUGUGUGCACCUGCACCCAAGGCUCCAGUCUCCACUCCCUGAUGGCCUCUGAUGGAGUUUCAGUUUGUAGUAUGGCCGGCUAG